GAUGAACGCUAGCUACAGGCUUAACACAUGCAAGUCGAGGGACCGGCGCACGUGUGAGUAACACGUAUCCCACCUGCCCUUUACUCGGGGAUAGCCUUUCGAAAGAAAGAUUAAUACCCGAUAUAAAGGAUGGGGAUGCGUUCCAUUAGGUUGUUGGUGCGGUAACGGCUCACCAAGCCUUCGCUGGAUAGGGGUUCUGAGAGGAAGGACCCCCACAAUGGAACUGAGGCUCGGUCCAAACUCGUACGGAAGGCAGCAGUGAGUGAUAUUGGUCACGGGGCGCUAGCCGGAACCAGCCAAGUAGCGUGAAGGAUGAAGGCUUAUGGGUCGUAAACUUCUUUUAUAUAAGAAUAUGUAUUAUAUGAAUAAGGAUCGGCUAACUCCGUGCCAGCCGCCGCGGUAAUAC
rnacentral:rRNA from 1 species